GAUCGCGGUAGUCGAAACCUCAAAUUAAAAAUUAGAGACUAGAUCCUUAUUUCCCCAAUUUCUUUCAGUAAUCUCUCACUCUCUCUAUCUUUUUUCUCUCUACUUUCUCUUCCACUGACCUAUCGACUGACAGCGGCAAACGGUAGUUGAAGACGGUGGCAAACGGUGGUUGACGACGGCAGGUAUCAGUGCGAAAAUCUGUGAAAUCCCCUCUUCUCGAAUCGUUGGCGUCAUCAUCGUGGUCGGCGUCAGAAUCGUCGGCGUCAUCAUCCACUAUUGACUCAUCCUCUUAGGCGAACAGAUCUGGACAUGGCUAUGUCAGAGAAGAUUUGAGGGCCUGAUUUUUGUUGGUCUCCACCUUUAGUUUUAACGCAAUGUAUCAAGUAUUUGCUUGGCCGGAAAACACCAUCUCCGGCGAACUUUCUUCUCUUCUUUGCUAUUUAGUCAUAUAACAUGGAGUGGGGAAUAACCCUCGUCUCAUGUAAGGCAACUAAAUGCACCUCGAGGUGCUGCCGAGGAACUGAGGGACCUUCUCGAGCACAAGAUAGGUAAUUGAGAGAAUGAUACAAAUAUAUUGUAUUAUGUACAAAUACACUCAAAUACAUUAUAUUUUUGUAUAAAUACAUAAUUUUUUUGCAUA